UACAGAGGGUGCGAGCGUUAAUCGGAAUUACUGGGCGUAAAGCGCACGUAGUCGGCUUUGCAAGUCGGUUGUGAAAUCCCCGGGCUCAACCUGGGAACUGCAUCCGAGACUGCAUUGCUAGAGUAUGGGAGAGGAAAGCGGAAUUUCUGGUGUAGCAGUGAAAUGCGUAGAUAUCAGAAGGAACACCAGUGGCGAAGGCGGCCAACUGGUCCGGUACUGACGCUGAGGUGCGAAAGCGUGGGGAGCAAACAGG
rnacentral:rRNA from 1 species